rnacentral:lncRNA from 1 species
ACCAUUCAUUCAUAUGCAUCAUAUCUCAAUUCAUACUUUUCAUAUCAUUUCAUGCAUGGCAAUUCGAUUCACAUUUCUAUAUACUUUUCAUAUACUUUCAUGCAUGACAUUUCAACUAAUAUAUCUCAUAUACUUUUAUACAUUUUCAUUAAAAGCAUAAUUUCAUGCAUUUUCAAUUUCUAGGAAACGGCAAGUAUAUAUGUAUACGGAAAACAAAACUGCCCACUCACCUGGAGUUCGUCCAACAACUCCCUAGCACCACACAUCAAGGCGUCACGACGAUCGCCGCCUAGAAUAGUAAUCAAAUCCAACCUCAGAAUUCAUAUCGAUAGAAUAUAACUUAUAUAAAAUACGUCACUACGUAGAUCGAUCCGGAAGAUCUGCCACUCAGAUUUUAAAUCCAUAACUUCCAGAGGUCCACAAUAUAUCUCUAGGAUAACAUCCUAAAAUUUCAUUACCAUCCAACGGUCGGAUCUCCGUCAAUUUCCAAAACUAAGUGACGGUUAACAUUCUAUAUUAUGGACUUACAACUCCAAUUUCGGAAGAUCCGCAAAUCGGAUUCCCAAUCUGUAAGUUCCUAUAAUCCUCAAAUAUUACGUAUUACAACGUAUCAAAGUUUGGUGAUGAUCCAACGGUCGGAUCAUCAAUUCAUAUUUUCACUUAAAUGCAAAAACUAUAAAACGUUAUUUGAACACCUAACCAACAAUCCUUAAUAACUUUCUCAUACGGUGCUCAAAUUGGGUAUACGAAUAUACCACAGUGAUCUACUCGACGUCACGGACGUCGACAUAUUUUUCAAAUAAUUUUUUACUGUAGCACGCGCCCCCACGCGCCAAGGAAGGCACGGACCUACGCGCCCCCACGCGCACCUUCUUCUUCCUUGGGUCGCCGGACUGGUUUUUCCGGCGGCCGUUUUUCAAAUUGCCAUAACUUUGUCAUUUCUCAACGAAAUCAAGUGAUUCCAAAACGAAAGUUGUAGCCCUUGAAGAUACAAAGAGAAUGGUACCUUGCACAACACCUAGUUCGCCGUGGUUUGGCCGGAAACUGCCUCGAAAGCCUCGGAGGUCGCCGGAAACUGGGUAUUUUUCAAAUGAGUAUAACUUCUUCAAUACUCAACGAAAUUGAGUGAAACAAAAAGGAAAGUUGUAGUACUUGACGAGACGAAGAGAUGGAUACCUACCUCGACUCCUAACUCGCCGGGGAUUCGCCGGAAAAAUCCUCGAAAGCUCCGGCCAAACUUUGAACUUGUCGAUCUCCGUGUUCUUACGUCCAAAAACUUCCAACGAAGCACUCCGAGCUUCCUUGGGACCUCACUAAGCUCGCUGUGAUCUUGUUUUAGCCUAAAUCGUAACCAUUUAAAAGAUCAUGAACAGUGCUCUUCCACGGGGAGUUUAGAAUCUAGGUUUUCCGAAGUAAAACUUACCUGAAAUUGGUGUCUACGUGAUCGUUGAGGUUCCAGGAGUUCAAUGGUGGUCUUAACUCCGUCGUUGGUAUAGAAGUUUAGUGUGGUUUUGGAGCUUGUCCGUGUGAGUUCGAAGGAGAGGGAGAGAGAACUGAGAGUUGCGUGAGGGAGGAGAGAGAGAGGGACAAGGUACGGGAAUUGGGGAAGGUUUUGAGGGAUGUGGGGAUCCCACGUGUCCAACUCAAUCCAAAUUGUUAAAUUUUCACCCCUUAGUCCCGUUUAAGGGCAUUUUCGUCUUUUCACGUCCUCGGAAUUAAAAUUCCGGGACGGGCUGUGACAAUCUUCCCUCCUUAUAGAAUUUCGUCCCCGAAAUUCCAGCAACCAACUAAAUCAACCAUACUCCAACAAUAGCUUCGGGUAAAUCUGUCUCAUCCGAUUCUCUUUCUCCCACAUAAUUUUCUACUGAAUGAUUCAUUCACAAAGCUUUUACUACUUACUCUGUCUUAAUUCUCAGGACCUUCUUUUUCCAAUCCAAAGUCGUCAUUGGUUCCUUAUCAAGUCGAAUCCAAUUUAAUUCUCAAUAGUUGCACCAGAAUCUCUUGUGACGAAUCUGCCACCUAGUGACAACGUAUCGAACCCAAAAUACAUUAAGUACCUUAGCCAACUCUGAAGACAUCACCACUUGUAUGCAACUUUAUUGAUUCCUUUAGUGAUAAAAAAAUGGUCUGAUGUGUCUAAAUCUUAUUUUGUCUCCUUUCCAACCCGAAUUAUACUUUUCUAUGGUGAACACUUCGAAAAUAUAAAACCAUUUGUCUUAUACACUCGAUUAGUGGCAUAUCCCUCUGUUAAUCUCUUUUGCCAUUCCUGGUUACUUUCAAGUUAACUUAAUCACCUGAAUACUUUGAGGAGACUCAUCCAUAGUCUCAGGGCCUACAAAAACUCUUUCGUGAUCAAAUCUUUUUCUAUUCAGAAGCAUUUCAUUCACACGACACGCUUCAGGGACCCUAUGGCGUUAUUUCGGAAACUGCGCACCCAACAUACUUAAGAAACUCAGCAGUUCCGUAAUCCAAUUCUCUUUUCCAUAAAACAAAUAAGUACUGUUACUCAACACUGGAGUAAAUGUACUAACUUGGUACAUUGACCAAUUAUCACUUCAAAUUCGAUCAUAACCAUCCUAUGUACAAGGAAACUUGUACACAUAAUCCAAAGUAAUAUCUUUCCAUUUCCACUGCGAAACAGAAAAUAGUUAUCCCAAUCCAAAGGUUUAUCUUUUUCUGCCUCAAUCUGCUGACCAAAUAAAACUGUCGAAUGGUAUGAUAAAUCUUAUUACUUUUGGAAUAUUACAGAAGUUGAACAGUGAACUUCGUCCAAUUUUUGCUUGCUUCAAAUCCUCAGCAUUAGGCACAUACUUUUUGUUUUCUUGUAUCCACAUACCAUUUGAUUCACGAAUCAUGUACUCAUUCUUUUUCCCUUCUUUCUCUGCCUUGGUUAAUUCUUAAAUUUCCUCGUCAAACAUUUAAGUUUCGAGUACGACCUUACCAAACAGGCCUAACUUGAAAUUUAACAAAUAUAACUUCUUCUCGAUCUUCCAUUCUUAAUUUUUCUUCCGUUGGUUUUCAAUCCACAAGAUGAUACUCUUGGCAAACGUGCCAGACAUUAAUCUUACUGUAGUCUUCUCACCAAGUGCUUCAGCUAGAACAAACUUUACGAUCACCCUGAUCGUACAAUCAUGUUCAUUAAGCAAUACAAUUCACUUUCGCUGCCUCAUAUCAAAAUCCUUCCAAGUAAUGGAUAUUGAAGACUUUUUGGAUUCGUAAAAAAAAUCUUGCAUUCUUACUAAAAUAUAAUGUCUCCAUAACUUCACAGCAAGGAUGGUAAUCGUGACUUCCAAAUCACCAGUAGGGUAAUUCAUCUUAUGAGGUUCCAUUUGUCGUGAAACGUAUGCAAUCACCCUAACAUUUGCAUUAAUACAUAUCCAAGAACAUUUAAUGUAACAUCACCAUAUACCGAUAAUUAUCGCUAUCUUCUGGGAAUAUUAAAAUACGUGCAUGAGUGAGGAAAUACUUCAGUUGUUGAAUCCUUUGCUCACAAUUUCCUUCCCACUCAUACAUAACCUCUUUUCUCAACAGUCUCGUCAAUGACAAAGCAAUGACUGAAAAAUCUUUCACAACCAUCCAAGAUAGCCUGGUAAGUUAAGAAAUUCCAAAUCUCAAUUACGACUCGUGGUUGUUCCAAUUCCUCAAUUUCUACUAUCUUUUAAGAAUUCAUUUGAAUACCUUAAGCAGAUAUACAAAUCUCAGAAUGCCACCUGAUUCAUCUAACUUUAGCAUUUGCUACUUAGCAUACAACCAACGUUCUCUCAAUCUUUGCUUCACCAACUUAAUAUGUUUACAUGCUUUGCUCUGGCUCAGAAUAUGCCAGAAUAUCUUCAAUGAAAAUGAUAUCAAGGCAUUAUUGGAAUACUUCAUCCAUCAACUCAUAAAACAGCAUGAGUAUCCAUAUAGCAUCACCAAACUUCAUCAAGACUAUAACGAGUCCAGAAAAACAAUCUUAGGAACAACGUUACUCAUAAUCUUCAAUUGAUAAUAAACAGACCUCAAGUCAAUCUUUGAAAAUAUACAAGCACCUUUGAACUGAUCAAAGGAGCGUCAAUACACCACAAUGGAUAACGGUUCUCAUUCGUUACCCGAUUCCAUUAUCUAUAAUCAAUGAACAAUCUCUAAGUCCAUUUCCUUUCUCACCAACAAACUGGUGCUCCUCAACAGUGUUGUACUAUGUUGAAUAAAACUUUUAUCAACCAAUUCUCUCAACUGAAUUUCCAAUUCCCUUAACUCAUCAUGAACCAAUCUUUAACAUAAAUUUAUACCCGGCAACAAAUCAAUAAUGAACCUCAUAUCUCUGCCUGAAGACAAUCCAGGUAUACUUUCAGGGAAGACAUCAAGAAAAGUCUAACCCCUUUUUCAUUUUUCACACUUCUCCGAGCAACAUCCUUUAGUACCACAUGAACUAAGUAUUUUUUUUUGACAUCCUUUCGAAAACAAUCUCUUUGCUCUCACAGCAUAAAUAACGGCCUGACUCAAUCCACUUUGCAUACUUACAAAAAUAAUCUCUGGUCAUCCAGAUCGAUGGAAAGUACUGGUUUCCCGUAACAUUCCAUCUAGUCACAACUAUAAACAAUCACUCUAAUGGAAUAAAAUUAAUUGACCCAAUACAUACUUUAUCAUUACUGAACAUUCUAAAUAAGUACAACACUAACAUAAAAUAAUUUACCGGGUUGCUUGCUUAACGAAUCCACGAAUAAGUUAUUAAUAUUACGGUCUGCAGCCCGCAAUACUGAUAAAUCAUUGUUGUCUCGAUAAGUAAGAAACCACUCUCAAAGAUAUAACAUUACUAUUUUGUCACUCAAUGAAAAAUACUUACACUCGUCUCAACUACAUUUAUUUACUACUCUCAAGGUAAUAACAUACAUAAUAAGAAAUAUAUCAGCCGAAGUCAACUAGAAUGACCAAUACGACUGAUUCAACUCUUAUCUCAAUAAUACGUCGGCCGGAUCCACUCCGCGUGGUCGGUACGGCCGAGCCUAUAACUCACCAAUUUCUCAUGUGUCAAUCGAAUCCACUUCUCAUGGUCUGUACGGCUGAACAUAUAACUCAUCAAAUCUCUCCGUACUCACGGUCAAUCCGACCAAACUACUAAAUCCAUAACUCUGCUGAAUCAACACUAUGAUAUCAUGGAAAAUUGUUGAGUACAACUGAUUCUAGGGACGAUUCACAAUUCUGUGUCCCCUCUGUUCACAUAAACACAUUCAUUAAUUUCACAUUUCCCAAAGUGUUAAUUUUUGUACCUGCUGCACAAGGUACAUUUCCUUUACUCGAGACACCUUGUCUCAAAUAUCUGGGAUUACCAGUAUAUCCAUCACUUUUACUCUGACCAGCGACAAUAAAACCUCAGCUGGAAGAAUUAAUUCUAGCUUCACUUCUUUUUAAACUCUGAAUCCUUCGAUAUUCUUGAUAUGACGAAUCAUUAACUUUAUCGUCUUCUUUUGAUUCCCAUUCAUUUCUUAUUCUUCUUUAUUCUCAUUGAUCAUGUUCUCAGAGUCCUCAAGGCUCAACAACAUCUUGUAUACUCCUGGUAAGAAGUACAAUGGAUAGUGGUCACCCAAAAUACCACUUCCCUUUUUGCCACCCAGCUUAAAACAAUAUAACACCUCCACCAAAUUAACAACAAUAUCUGGAUGGAACGAGGCAAGUCUGAAAACUUUCUAUAAUAUUCAUUUAUCGUCAACUUCCUUAAUUCACAUUUGCAAACUCUUGCUUACUACCAUCGAUAAAUGCCGGAGGGAUAAACUUUUCCUUAAACAAUUUUAAAUCGGCUGUUCCUCCGAUGACAACAAAUCAUACUCCUGUUUCCACCAGGAUACAAAUUCAUACCCAAAACCAGGUAGUCGUCUCGACCCCCCUGUCAGAAGGAAGAUUCCUUUGACUUGCAUAAUCUGAAACAUCUUUUCCAAAUGGUUAAACCGUUACUUCGCUCCCUCAGGUUCAUCAUUUCAUAAGGUGAUUCAAAUUCGACUCAUAACCCGUCUUAAAAUGUCCAUUUUUAUAAUAUACUGAAUCACCAUAAUAAUAGUUUUCCCUAAACCGCUAUAUUAGGGAGACUAAAUUCCUCUAACUAAGUGGCUUGCUACGAGGCGGUGUAGUUCUGACAGAAUUCACUAGAACUUCUCAAGAUGUCCAAGAUUGCAACCAUGCUCUGAUACCAACUGACACACCCCGUCCCGAAGGAGGGCAUGCUGGCCGUCACGUGAGAGUGACGUAACCAUUUGCACAGUACGGAAGCUUUAAGAUACAAUUUAUAAGUUGAUACACCCGAAGGUGAGUCCUAAUUUUGUCCAAUCUGUCAGAACACCGUCGAAUUCCUCGUAGUCACCACACCUUUGUGAUUCCUGAACCUGGAGGGGCGCAAAACCAAAAUUGAGUGGGUCAGUAAAACAAUUCUUUUCCAAAUCCAAACAUUUCUCAAAACGUUGUAACCCCUCUCCGUAAAACCUGUAUACUUUCCCCAGAAAUGUAAAAUAUAAAUAUACAUAUAUAUUCUCAAUACUUUAAUUCAUUAACUCAACAUUUUUUCUUUAUCAAUCAUGCCAUGCCAUGUCUAAUUCAACAGUUAAGUAUGGAUGCAUCAACAAUAAUCAUAUCAGGUGCAAGAAAGUAAUCAACCGGAGGCCCUCUAAUAGCCCUGUACGGUUGAACCUAGAGCUCAAAAUCUAUCACUAUCACUCUACCGGAGUCACCUCUGUGACCCGUCCGGCCUUCUGCACACAAGUUACGCUCUAGUGCUUUCUCAUCAAUCAUCUGUGCACAUAAUCUAAGGUCACCCACCAGUCGAAAUCUCACUAACACUCUUCGACUGGCCCGUCGCAACCCACUCCGCGUGGACUGUACGACCAGCAUCUACUUGGAUCCAAGGCGAGCGUGCGAUGCGGUGAAUACUAUAAGCACUAAACCAUGGUGCAGGAUUUGAGCUCAAUAUAUAUCAACAUCAUCAUAACAGUAAUUAAAUACUCACCUGAUACUCACCUGUGCGUCCGCCGCACCAUUCAUUCAUAUGCAUCAUAUCUCAAUUCAUACUUUUCAUAUCAUUUCAUGCAUGGCAAUUCGAUUCACAUUUCUAUAUACUUUUCAUAUACUUUUCAUGCAUGACAUUUCAACUAAUAUAUCUCAUAUACUUUUAUACAUUUUCAUUAAAAAGCAUAAUUUCAUGCAUUUUCAAUUUCUAGGAAACGGCAAGUAUAUAUGUAUACGGAAAACAAAACUGCCCACUCACCUGGAGUUCGUCCAACAACUCCCUAGCACCACACAUCAAGGCGUCACGACGAUCGCCGCCUAGAAUAGUAAUCAAAUCCAACCUCAGAAUUCAUAUCGAUAGAAUAUAACUUAUAUAAAAUACGUCACUACGUAGAUCGAUCCGGAAGAUCUGCCACUCAGAUUUUAAAUCCAUAACUUCCAGAGGUCCACAAUAUAUCUCUAGGAUAACAUCCUAAAAUUUCAUUACC